GACGAACGCUGGCGGCGUGCUUAACACAUGCAAGUCGAGCGGUAAGUGCCUCUUCGAGUGGUACACGAGCGGCGAACGGGUGAGUAACACGUGAGUAAUCUGCCCUCCACUUUGGGAUAAGCCUCGGAAACGGGGUCUAAUACCGGAUAGGAGCAUUCCGCGCAUGUGGGGUGUUGGAAAGUUUUUCGGUGGGGGAUGUGCUCGCGGCCUAUCAGCUUGUUGGUGGGGUAAUGGCCUACCAAGGCUUCGACGGGUAGCCGGCCUGAGAGGGUGACCGGCCACACUGGGACUGAGACACGGCCCAGACUCCUACGGGAGGCAGCAGUGGGGAAUAUUGGACAAUGGGCGGAAGCCUGAUCCAGCAACGCCGCGUGAGGGAUGACGGCCUUCGGGUUGUAAACCUCUUUCACCUGUGACGAAGCGAAAGUGACGGUAGCGGGAGAAGAAGCACCGGCCAACUACGUGCCAGCAGCCGCGGUA
rnacentral:rRNA from 1 species